rnacentral:rRNA from 1 species
AGAACGAACGCUGGCGGCAUGCCUAAUACAUGCAAGUCGAACGAACUCUUCGGAGUUAGUGGCGCACGGGUGCGUAACGCGUGGGAAUCUGCCCCUUGGUUCGGAAUAACAGUUGGAAACGACUGCUAAUACCGGAUGAUGACGAAAGUCCAAAGAUUUAUCGCCAAGGGAUGAGCCCGCGUAGGAUUAGCUAGUUGGUGAGGUAAAGGCUCACCAAGGCAACGAUCCUUAGCUGGUCUGAGAGGAUGAUCAGCCACACUGGGACUGAGACACGGCCCAGACUCCUACGGGAGCCAGCAGUAGGGAAUAUUGGACAAGUGGGACAAAGCCUGAUCCAGCAAUGCCGCGUGAGUGAUGAAGUCCGUUAGGUACGUAAAGGUCUCUUUUAACCCGAGAUGAUAAUGACAGUAGUAGGAAGAAUAACGCCCCGGACUAACCGUCCGUACGACC